AGAGUUUGAUCCUGGCUCAGGACGAACGCUGGCGGCGCGCCUAAUGCAUGCAAGUCGAACGGUCCCUUGGCCUUCGGGCCUAUGGGAUAGUGGCAAACGGCUGAGUAACGCGUAAGGGAUCUGACCCCGGGUGGGGGAUAACCCAUCGAAAGGUGGGCUAAUACCCCGUACGCUCUCCCGCUGCAUGGCGGGAGUGGAAAGCCUUUGGACGCCCGGGGAGGGCCUUGCGUCCUAUCAUGGUUGUUGGCGGGGUAACGGCCCACCAAGCCUAAGACGGGUAACCGGUGUGAGAGCAUGAACGGUCAGAGGGGGACUGAGACACGGCCCCCACUCCUACGGGAGGCAGCAGCAGGGAAUUUUGCGCAAUGGGCGAAAGCCUGACGCAGCGACGCCGCGUGGGGGAAGAAGGCCUUCGGGUUGUAAAUCCCUUUUCUGGGGGAAGAGAAUGGACGGUACCCCAGGAAUAAGCCCCGGCUAACUACGUGCCAGCAGCCGCGGUAAUACGUAGGGGGCAAGCGUU
rnacentral:rRNA from 1 species